UUGGAGGGCAAGUCUGGUGCCAGCAGCCGCGGUAAUUCCAGCUCCAAUAGCGUAUAUUAAAGUUGUUGCAGUUAAAAAGCUCGUAGUUGAAUUUCGGGGUCAGUAGGUUGGUCGUGCCAAUGGUAUGUACUGGCUUUACUGAUUCCUCCUUCUUGAAGAACUGUAAUGUCAUUAAUUUGGUGUUGCAGGGAAACAGGACUGUUACUUUGAAAAAAUUAGAGUGUUUAAAGCAGGCUAACGCUUGAAUACAUUAGCAUGGAAUAAUGAAAUAGGACGUUCGAUCCUAUUUUGUUGGUUUCUAGGAUUGACGUAAUGAUUAAUAGGGAUAGUUGGGGGCAUUAGUAUUCAAUUGUCAGAGGUGAAAUUCUUGGAUUUAUUGAAGACUAACUACUGCGAAAGCAUUUGCCAAGGAUGUUUUCAUUAAUCAAGAACGAAAGUUAGGGGAUCGAAGACGAUCAGAUACCGUCGUAGUCUUAACCAUAAACUAUGCCGACUAGGGAUCGGAUGAUGUUAAUUUUUUAAUGACUCAUUCGGCGCCUUACGGGAAAC
rnacentral:rRNA from 1 species